rnacentral:lncRNA from 1 species
CAGUCUCAAAUGUUGCUUCCUCAUCUGUAAAAUGGGAGCAAGAGCAGUGCCACUUCAUAAGGAUGUUUUAAGAUCUAGAACAUAAUGACAGGCAUAUGAUGACGAUUUUAAAUUUGAGUCGUGUUUGCAAAUGAAAUCCAGAACAUUCCCUGCUGCUCCAGUCAAGGAUGGAUUGAUGAGAACCAAGCAGUGGUCAGCACUAGCCUUCUAAAUGAAGAUCACAGGCAGGACUCUCCUUCAGGGGUUCCCAUGUAGGGAAAGAGAAACCCUGAGCAGGCGCCUUCUCCCGGCAGAACAGGUUCUGUCCUAGCUAUCAUGCCAGGUGUAUAUAAUAAUAUCCAAAUUCUUCUAAUACCUAGGUAAUGCUGAUAUUAGGCUCUCCCUCUUCUGCGCUAGUGUUUUCCGAUUGGGUGUGCAUGUCAGACUAAUCUAGAAAGCAUUAAAAACAAACACACACACAGAAGACUGAUUUCAUUUAGCUUUUGGUUGAUCUCACAAGCCGUCAACAAAAUUUGAGUCAAUUGAAGUUAGCAUUAAAAUAGAAGAAAUGUUCUAAAUAACCAAGGAUAAAUGAAACAAGGAAUAUGCAGGAUGUUCAUGAAGAAAAGUCACAUAUUGUUGACCAAAAUAAAUGAAAUUGCAAAAGAACAUGUUCACUCUGACACAUUUUGUACAAAAGUUUUAAAUAUGCAAAACACUAUAUAUAUAGUUAUGGACAAAUAAGUAUGCUGUGAAAUUAGAGGUUAAAAAUGCACAAAACAACACAAAAAAGACAGUGCAGCAUUAUUAUUAUUGUUAUACUUUAAGUUUUGGGAUACAUGUGCAGAACGUGCAGGUUUGUUACAUAGGUAUACAUGUGCCAUGGUGGUUUGCUGACAGUGCAGCAUUUUAUAAUGGUGGUUACUUUUGAGAGUAGAGGGAAAUUCUGGUGGAGGAAUGUGCCUGUUUCUAUAAACUUUUAGAUGUCAAUUUAAAAAUAUUUGAAUAUUUGACACAAAAAACAACAUGUCAACAUUUGAUCACUAUGUCUAGUUUUAAUUUUCUCUAUGAAAUAGUUAUUAUUUAAGUGUAAUCAAUAAACAGAAAAUGAUAAUGAUGGAGAAACGAAGAAGAUGAAGUUGAGAAGGAAAGGAAGGGAAGGAAGGAGAAGAGAAUGAAAAAGAGAGAGAAGAAUAGAAUAAGAAGGAGGAGAAGGAGGGAGGGGAGGAGGAAGAGAAAAAAAAGGAAGAAAGGAAUGAAGUCCCCAAAUAUUCGUAAGAAAAAAAAUGUUUAAUUCCACUUGGAUCUGUGUUGAAAACUUGACAGCCUGUUUACGUUUCAUUUAGACAAAAUAAAUGCUGAGAAUGACCCCAGAAUAUAAAAUAAAUAAUUAAAAAGGUGAAAUCUACCCUAUCAGAUGUCAAAUCAUACUAUACAGCUAUGGUAAUUCAAACACAGAACAAAAAUAAGACUACAAAUUAUUUAAAGUGUGGGGAAGGAUUAUUAAAUAAAUAUGACAUGGAUGAUUGGUUAAAUAUACAGGAAUUAUAACAAGGCAAAUGUCUCCUCCCUUACCUCAUAAAAUUUACCUAAUUUGAUUUAAAUUGAUCAAAAAUUCAAAUAUUAAAGAAGAAGUAGUAAAAGAAUUGACAAAAAACAAUAAUGCAUCUGAUUCAUCUCAGGGUAGAGGUGCCCUCAUUAUAAAAGCAAAGGGAGAAUCCAUAAAAAAAAAAAUGUUAGGGCUGGGCGCUGUGGCUCAAGCCUGUAAUCCCAGCAUUUUGGGAGGCAGAAGUGGGCGCAUCACUUGACAUCAGGAGUUGAAGACCACCCCGGCCAACAUGGUGAAACUCUGUCUCUAGUUAAAACACAAAAAAAUUAGCGGGUCAUGGUGGCAGGUGCCUGUAAUCCCAGCUACUCGUGAGGUUGAGGCAGGAGAAUCGCUUGAACCUGGGGGGUGCGUAGGUUGCAGUCACUGCCACUGUACUCCAGCCUGAGAAACGGAGUGAGACUCUGUCUCAAAAAAAAAAGAAAAGAAAAAAAAGAAAGAAAAAGAAAAUGUUUGGGAGGUUUUAAAAAUUGUAAUACCUGGUUCUGAUGUGGGUAUUGUGAGAUGGAUACUUUCUUACAAACAUUUUGGCAACAUGGAUUAAAACCUUAAAUGAUAAUAUUCCCUUCAAGUCAGUGGUUCUAUUUCUAAGAAUCUAACCUAGUAAAUAAUAACAAAUGCACACAAAGAUUUAAGUAUAUGUAUAUUCAUUAUAUGAUUAUUUGCAGUAUUCCAAAGUGGUUAACAAUUCAUACACCCAAUGAUAGAAAAUGGAGAAGUACUCUCCAUACAAUGCUAACUGGCAAAAAGGAAACAUAAGAAUAACAUGGAUCUAAUCACAUAAAUAGAAUGUAUGUAGAUUGUGAGUCUCUGGAAAUUAUUCCUGUUUGUCAUUCUUCUUUACAGAUGUAUGUAUUCUACAAUUAACAUGAAUUAUUUUAUUUUUCAUUUUAAUAAAUUAUGUUAUUAAAUUAUGAUAUAUUGAUUUUAAGAGUCAAGAAAUACAUAAAGAAAUGUAAAUUUACUAAAUGCUUUCUUUCAUCCCACCCUCCUAUCCCCAUGUUCCAGAAGUUUAUCCGAGUUUAUUGUGUUUACUUUCAAAGACAACUGUCUUUGGAUAUGAACACAUAUCUAUGUUUGGAAACAUCACAUAGAUAUGUGUUCAUGUGUACAGUGUGUGUAUACAUAUAUGCCAUACUAAGACACUAACGUAAGCUUCCUGUGUGCCAGGGCAGUUUUUGGUUUGGGGAACAUGGUGAUUCACUUAUGAUGAUCCCAGCCAAUGGUUAAUGUGGACACAAACACAGAUAAUUCUGGGAGGCACUAAAAUAAAGUUAGAAAGUUAGACUCAGGAACUUAAAGUUGGAUUUGAUCCUUUUUUUUCUCAUCAGUGUAUAUUUUCUUUUCUUUUUUUGUUUUAUUUUAUUUUUUUUUAGGUUCAGGGUGUACAUGUGCAGGUUUGUUAGAUGGGCAUAUUAUGUGAUACUGAGGUUUGGGCUUCUAAUGAGAACGUGAUCUUUUCUAAUGAUGAGAUAUGAGGUUGGAGGUUGAAGGUAUAGAAAGGCUUUCUGGAGGAGCCGGCCCUUGAUAUGGACACUGAAAAGAGAGAUAGACUCUCCAGGAUACAUUAAUCUCAGGUGGAGAUAGAGAAAGGCUAUUUCUGACAGAAGGAGGAGACUAAGUUGGGGAAGUUGAGCACAAGAUCAGGCCUGCUGGGCCUGGAAAUUAUGGAAGAUGUUAGUAAAAGCUAAGACAGUGGAGGUUGUUUCAGGGCACAUCACAGGGGAUCUAGACGUGCGAUGUGGAUUCUGAAUACCUGUCUUUCCACAGUAGGAGGUCUUUGUGGUUUUGAGCAGGACGAUGCUGCUGCUGACAGAGACAAGGACAGAUUGAAGAGGGCAACCAGAAGGCAGGGAGUUAAGUCAGCCAGCUUAAUUAUUAACGAGAUGAGGAAGGCCAGAACUAGAGCAUUUUUAGUGUAAAGGGAGGAAAGGGAGAGAAAUUCGGAGAGAUCAUGGAGGGCAACACAGCAGGGUUAGAAAGCUAAGCUGUGCCUGGGAUAUCUGACUCCCAGGGGUCAUGGUCAGGAAGGAUGGUAAGAAAGAGGGCUUACCCCUUCUUACAUUUCAGACAUAUGUUCAAUGUAAUUCAAACUUUUUAAAAGACUUCUUGUUGCUUUUUAACUUCCCAUGUCACGUUCUCCAUAGUCACCCAAGUCAAAGCCUGAAGAAACCAAAGAGACAUUUCUAGGAGAAGUUGAAAAAUGGUGACUGGAGUCACCUCCAGUGGCCUCCAGCUUUGGUGCAUUGACUCCUUACUAGAAAGAUGUAGGGCUUGCUGGAAAAGCAAUAGGUGUAUCAACAGGUCAAAUGCCCUUGACCCUGCCAAAGAAAGAAGGACUGACAAUGAAACCCACAUAGAUGGGGACAUUUCAAGGGCCCAUAUUUCCUAAGAGUCUUUAGCCUGCAUAGGGUUCCACUUGCCCCUUCUGAUCUCUGUAUUUUUGCCUGGACUUUUCUAUGGUGGUGGUCACAGCUGAAGAGGCGAAUAUUACUAUAUUUUGAUCUUGGUAACACAGUAAUUAAUUAUUUUUUUUAAUGACCUGUUACCAUAGAGAUUAAUAAGCAAAAGCUCUAAUACUACUAGCCUGCCAGGGAGUUCACACAUGUGAAAUACUUAGAAUAGAGUGACACAGAGAAAGCACACCAUAUAUAUUGGCUAUGGUUUGUAUUCAGAUUAAUGAAAACAUCACACUUCAGUUCUAAAGGUGUCUGUUUCAGCUUCUCUAACCCUCCAGCCUAGACUCAGUCCUGUAUUUGCCCUGAAAACAUAGGUAAGCCUGGAAUGACUCUUGGUGUCAUAAACUUGGGAUCCCCUGCACCCAUUGUGGGUCUGUCUGUGGCCACUCCAGCCAUGAUUGUGAGGUCUGGAUGACUCAGGCCUGCUUUGCACUCAGCCAGGCACCUUUUUUAGAACUGAAGCCCUAUUCUGACCUCCAGUCCACUUGGCUUGGGCCCUGACACCUGUCUGGCCUUAAGAACCUCUCUGCACACAUUGAUGCCAUUCUCUGAACCAGGCAGCCUGACCCGAGCCUGACCUGGCUUGACUGCCACUCCUAGGAGAAUUUCUGCUGUCCUCUUCUGCCUCAGAUCAGACCCCCUUAUAUUUUAUUUCCGGACUGACUCAAGUCAUAGUCACCAUGCUCCUUUCUCGUUAUUCAAUACAAGCCCUGUCCCACCCUGACUGCCUCCCUUUCCCAGUGAGCAGAUGCUUUUGAAUUCCCAGCCUGAUCGCAUUCAAAGCGUGAGAUGGGGGAUCUUAGAAAUCCAAACUCCCCAUUCUAUGGAUGAGAAACCGUGGCUCAGAGAUGGGAAGUGCAUUCCUCCAUCUUACACCCUGAUUGUAGGACAGACAGAAGGUAAAAUCCCAGCCCCUGGGAACAUUUGCCUUGGAAUAUUAUCACAAUUCCAAAAAGGCUAUGGCUUGCUUCCUCCACUUGUCCCCAGGUAACCUCCAAGAGAGUUUCUUUCUGAGACAGUACUUAGCAAGUAAUUCCUUCUUACAAAAGUAGUCAAGGUCCUCAGAUUUACAAACCCCUUCUCUCCUUCUGGCAUUCCGGGGUUGUCAGGAUAUUUUGGUCUGUCAGUAACCUCUGGGGAAGAAAGGUCAGAAAAACAUUAUGAAUUCAAAAAUUUACCUAAAAUAAACUAAACUUGAAAACAGAAAUAAUGAGUCACCUGGGUUAGCAAAACUGCAUUCCCUGCUACUAGGUAGAAGAGAGAGCUAAUGAGCUAAGCUAAUUUCAGUACUAAAAAAAUUACUGGAAAAGUUACAUUUUUGCAUGCAUGAGUAUUUUGCCUAUGAAACAUGAUCUCUCAUCCCUUGUUAAUGAGGAGGAUAUCUAUUCCUCCCACUUCAGGCAUGAAUAUCACUAUGCUAUUGGAAGACUUGGUCCCCAAGAUUGCUUGAAUGACUAUGUAAGGAAUUGGAGACUAGAGCCAAGAUUAAAUUCCGAUAUUAAACCCAGUGCUUCAAAGGACCUAAAAGAGCAUUUGUGCCUCUGAACUGUACAAAAUUUCUGAGAAAGAAUCUGGUAGCCUUCAGUAAAACAGGCAGGAGCUUUCUGUUUUAGAAGCCCUCUCUAUUUUCAGCAUGCUUUCUGAUGGUUUCUCCAUACUUGCAGUGCUGAGAAAUGAGCAUAUACAUCAAACUUUGCUGUGCCUACAUCAAACAUAGGGACUUUCAGCUUCUUUGAUCUUGAUACUAUUUAUAAUUUGUUUUGUCUGAAUUUUAGGAGCACUUUAAACAGUUACAUUGCUGUGUAUGGAAUUAGAUAUCUCUUUCUGCUGCAAGGUAGGUAAAAUGCACCAUAUUAUCAUGAAUGCAGGGCUGUAUACUUCUACUCAUGAACUCUCAAGGUGUUUGUUUUAAUCUCUUCUUCUUGACUGACAAGAUCAUGUGUUUAAUAUGAAUUGUUACACAAUAUCUUAGUGACAUCUGAUUGUUUUUUUCCACACUUGGAGAGAGGCAGCCUCUAACUUUGAAGGAAUAUCAGCAGGUAAACACGAGAACAUUACUUGAAAGCAUGAGACAAAGCUUCAAAGCUUCAAUGCUUCAGGGUGCCUAGGGAACAGUAAGCAACCACACAAUAAGUAUUACUGAAUUCCAAGAUAAGAAGGCUUGUGGAACACCUGAAAAAAUAGGUAAGGAUUCCUGAAGGAAAGUGCACCACAGAUUAUUUCAGCAGCUGCAUCAUCCAGAACUUGAGCAAUAUUUUCUUAUGUUCAGUCUUCAGGAUGAGCAAAACACAGCUUCCAAACUCACUCUAAGCAAGUCUCAGACGGAAGAUGAUAGGAAGGAGGUGAUCUUUGGUAACAUAAUCAAGUUGCUCAACUUGGUGCUGGUGAAGCCUCUUUCAAGAUGGUUCACUUAUACGGCUGGAAGUUGAUCAUGACUGUUGGCUCAGAGCUCAGCCAAGGCUUAUAGAUCAGUGGGCAUUGACUCCUCUCCACGUGAGCCUCUCCACAGUUGUUUAGGCUUCAUCACAGUAUGUUGGCUGGGUUCUAAAAGACAGCAACCCUCAAAAAACAAAAUUAAAAUGCAUGGCAGUCUUUUGAUCUAACCUCCAAAAUCAUAUAGUAUCAUUUCUACUGGACUCUCUUGGUUGAAGCAGUCGGGAAGACCCACCCAAAUUCAAGAACAGACACAGACACCACCUCUUGAUGGGGGCAGAGUUUAAUAUUCCAGAAGAGGCUGUGAUAUGGAAAAUACAGUUGCACUCAUCUUUGGAAGAUAAUCUGCCAGAUCAAAUAACUUUGAGAACUAUUCUCCAUUUCUCCACUUCUCUAUGCACUCUAUUGUAUGAUUUCUUUUUUACACAUGGAAAGUAAUACUGUACACCAUUAUGCACACAUGAAUAAUGUAAUGGAAAAAGUAAAAGAAUAUCCUCUCUGACCUUGAUUACAAAAGCAUUUUAUUUUUAAUUUUUGUUACUUGUUUUUUGCUUAAUACUCUCAUUGUAUAGUCAAAGGUUUUAUAAACAUCAAUUCUCAUCAUGGAUGGGAUAAAAUAAGUGACAACAUCACUUUACUUUACUUACCAAUGGCAGAUAGUUCUAUCUGAACCCAAAUCUUUCCUCUAAAUUAUUCUCAACAUAUUUUUCCAUAAAAUCACCACUAAUCAUUGAUGGUUAGCAUAUGUGAAAAAAUGAUUUUGCCAUCCUAGUACAGUUUGAUAAUGUAGCUGCCUGGACCAAGAUGUUAAAAGCAGGGGAAAAUCUGAACCUAGAUGGGGGAAGGAGGUAGUAAGAACUUAAAAUAAUAUGUGGAAACAAAAUGAAUCACUACAUUACCCCCAAAUAGUUGGUGAGAGAAGAGCCAGGCUAUAAUAUGACAGGUUCAAUUCAGAUUUAAGAUGAGAUUGGGGAUAU